rnacentral:misc_RNA from 1 species
AACUUUUAGUAAUGGAUCUCUUGGCUCUCGCAUCGAUGAAGAACGCAGCGAAAUGCGAUAAGUAAUGUGAAUUGCAGAAUUCAGUGAAUCAUCGAAUCUUUGAACGCACCUUGCGAUCUUUGGUAUUCCGAAGAGCAUGCCUGUUUGAGUGUCAUGAAAAUAUCAACCUUGACGUGGGUUUAGUGCUCUUGUCUUGGCUUGGAUUUGGCUGUUUGCCGCUCGAAAGAGUCGGCUCAGCUUAAAAGUAUUAGCUGGAUCUGUCUUUGAGACUUGGUUUGACUUGGCGUAAUAAGUUAUUUCGCUGAGGACAAUCUUCGGAUUGGCCGAGUUUCUGGGACGUUUGUCCGCUUUCUAAUACAAGUUCUAGCUUGCUAGACAUGACUUUUUUAUUAUCUGGCCUCAAAUCAGGUAGGACUACCCGCUGAACUUAAGCAUAUCAAUAAGCGGAGGCU